rnacentral:rRNA from 1 species
UACGUAGGGGGCAAGCGUUGUCCGGAUUUAUUGGGCGUAAAGAGCGUGUAGGCGGCCAGGUAGGUCAGCUGUGAAAACUCGAGGCUCAACCUCGAGACGUCGGUUGAAACCACCUGGCUAGAGUCCGGAAGAGGAGAGUGGAAUUCCUGGUGUAGCGGUGAAAUGCGCAGAUAUCAGGAGGAACACCAGCGGCGAAGGCGGCGCUCUGGGCCGGUACUGACGCUGAGGAGCGAAAGCGUGGGUAGCAAACAGG